rnacentral:rRNA from 1 species
GAUUUGAAGAGCUUGCUCAGAUAUGACGAUGGACAUUGCAAAGAGUGGCGAACGGGUGAGUAACACGUGGGAAACCUACCUCUUAGCAGGGGAUAACAUUUGGAAACAGAUGCUAAUACCGUAUAACAAUGACAACCGCAUGGUUGUUAUUUAAAAGAUGGUUCUGCUAUCACUAAGAGAUGGUCCCGCGGUGCAUUAGCUAGUUGGUAAGGUAAUGGCUUACCAAGGCGAUGAUGCAUAGCCGAGUUGAGAGACUGAUCGGCCACAAUGGGACUGAGACACGGCCCAUACUCCUACGGGAGGCAGCAGUAGGGAAUCUUCCACAAUGGGCGAAAGCCUGAUGGAGCAACGCCGCGUGUGUGAUGAAGGGUUUCGGCUCGUAAAACACUGUUGUAAGAGAAGAAUGACAUUGAGAGUAACUGUUCAAUGUGUGACGGUAUCUUACCAGAAAGGAACGGCUAAAUACGUGCCAGCAGCCGCGGUAAUACGUAUGUUCCAAGCGUUAUCCGGAUUUAUUGGGCGUAAAGCGAGCGCAGACGGUUAUUUAAGUCUGAAGUGAAAGCCCUCAGCUCAACUGAGGAAUUGCUUUGGAAACUGGAUGACUUGAGUGCAGUAGAGGAAAGUGGAACUCCAUGUGUAGCGGUGAAAUGCGUAGAUAUAUGGAAGAACACCAGUGGCGAAGGCGGCUUUCUGGACUGUAACUGACGUUGAGGCUCGAAAGUGUGGGUAGCAAACAGGAUUAGAUACCCUGGUAGUCCACACCGUAAACGAUGAGUGCUAGGUGUUUGAGGGUUUCCGCCCUUAAGUGCCGCAGCUAACGCAUUAAGCACUCCGCCUGGGGAGUACGACCGCAAGGUUGAAACUCAAAGGAAUUGACGGGGACCCGCACAAGCGGUGGAGCAUGUGGUUUAAUUCGAAGCAACGCGAAGAACCUUACCAGGUCUUGACAUCCCUUGACAACUCCAGAGAUGGAGCGUUCCCUUCGGGGACAAGGUGACAGGUGGUGCAUGGUUGUCGUCAGCUCGUGUCGUGAGAUGUUGGGUUAAGUCCCGCAACGAGCGCAACCCUUAUUACUAGUUGCCAGCAUUCAGUUGGGCACUCUAGUGAGACUGCCGGUGACAAACCGGAGGAAGGUGGGGAUGACGUCAAAUCAUCAUGCCCCUUAUGACCUGGGCUACACACGUGCUACAAUGGCGUAUACAACGAGUUGCCAACCCGCGAGGGUGAGCUAAUCUCUUAAAGUACGUCUCAGUUCGGAUUGUAGGCUGCAACUCGCCUACAUGAAGUCGGAAUCGCUAGUAAUCGCGGAUCAGCACGCCGCGGUGAAUACGUUCCCGGGUCUUGUACACACCGCCCGUCACACCAUGAGAGUUUGUAACACCCAAAGCCGGUGGGGUAACCUUCGGGAGCCAGCC